rnacentral:rRNA from 1 species
AGAGUUUGAUCAUGGCUCAGGACGAACGCUGGCGGCGUGCCUAAUACAUGCAAGUCGAGCGAGCGGAACCAACAGAUUUACUUCGGUAAUGACGUUGGGAAAGCGAGCGGCGGAUGGGUGAGUAACACGUGGGGAACCUGCCCCUAAGUCUGGGAUACCAUUUGGAAACAGGUGCUAAUACCGGAUAAUAAAGCAGAUCGCAUGAUCAGCUUUUGAAAGGCGGCGUAAGCUGUCGCUAAGGGAUGGCCCCGCGGUGCAUUAGCUAGUUGGUAAGGUAACGGCUUACCAAGGCGACGAUGCAUAGCCGAGUUGAGAGACUGAUCGGCCACAUUGGGACUGAGACACGGCCCAAACUCCUACGGGAGGCAGCAGUAGGGAAUCUUCCACAAUGGACGCAAGUCUGAUGGAGCAACGCCGCGUGAGUGAAGAAGGUUUUCGGAUCGUAAAGCUCUGUUGUUGGUGAAGAAGGAUAGAGGUAGUAACUGGCCUUUAUUUGACGGUAAUCAACCAGAAAGUCACGGCUAACUACGUGCCAGCAGCCGCGGUAAUACGUAGGUGGCAAGCGUUGUCCGGAUUUAUUGGGCGUAAAGCGAGCGCAGGCGGAAAAAUAAGUCUAAUGUGAAAGCCCUCGGCUUAACCGAGGAACUGCAUCGGAAACUGUUUUUCUUGAGUGCAGAAGAGGAGAGUGGAACUCCAUGUGUAGCGGUGGAAUGCGUAGAUAUAUGGAAGAACACCAGUGGCGAAGGCGGCUCUCUGGUCUGCAACUGACGCUGAGGCUCGAAAGCAUGGGUAGCGAACAGGAUUAGAUACCCUGGUAGUCCAUGCCGUAAACGAUGAGUGCUAAGUGUUGGGAGGUUUCCGCCUCUCAGUGCUGCAGCUCACGCAUUAAGCACUCCGCCUGGGGA